GCUCCCAUAGUUUAAUGGAUAGAACGUCAGUUUGCGGUACUGAUGAUCCAAGUUCGAUUCUUGGUGGGGGCA
rnacentral:tRNA from 1 species